ACAGAUGAAUAAACGUCUCUGAUCUUCACCAUUGCUUCUUUAUCUCUUUAUCUCAUCAGAGGUCUUAGAGGCAAAAAGCCCCCAAGAAGGUACAAGUCCAUGAACCAAGCAAGUGCUGAACUUCCUCCUGGCUCUCCUGUGCUCCCAACAUCUUCAGCUGGAUCACAUUUUUUGAUUACUGAUGAAAGAAACC
rnacentral:lncRNA from 1 species